GAUGAACGCUGGCGGCGUGCCUAAUACAUGCAAGUCGAGCGAACAGACGAGUAGCUUUCUCCUCUGACGUUAGCGGCGGACGGGUUAGUAACACGUGGAUCACCUACCUAUAAGACUGGGAUCACUUCGUGAAACCGGAGCUCAUACCAGAUAAUAUAUUGAACCGCAUGGUUCAAUAGUGAAAUACGGUUUUGCUGUUACUUAUAGCUGGUUCCGCGCCGCAUUAGCUAGUUGGUAAGGUAAAGGCUUACCAAGGCUACGAUGCGUAGCCGACCUGAGAGGAGGAGCGGCCACACUGGAACUGAGACACGGCCCAGACUCCUACGGGAGGCAGCAGUAGGGAAUUUUGGGCAAUGGGCGAAAGCCUGACGGAGCAACGCCGCGUGAGGGAUGAAGGUCUUCGGAUUGUAAAACGCUGUUAUUAGGGAAGAACAAAUGUGUAAGAAAAUAGGGAGGUAUUGACGGUACCUAAUGAGAAAGCAACGGCUAACUACGUG
rnacentral:rRNA from 1 species